rnacentral:rRNA from 1 species
CGUCAGCUCGUGUCGUGAGAUGUUGGGUUAAGUCCCGCAACGAGCGCAACCCUCGCUGUUAGUUGCCAUCAUUUAGUUGGGAACUCUAACAGGACUGCCGGUGCUAAGCCGGAGGAAGGUGGGGAUGACGUCAAGUCCUCAUGGCCCUUACAGGGUGGGCUACACACGUGCUACAAUGGCGACUACAGAGGGCAAAUCCCUAAAAGUCGUCUCAGUUCGGAUUGUCCUCUGCAACUCGAGGGCAUGAAGUUGGAAUCGCUAGUAAUCGCGGAUCAGCAUGCCGCGGUGAAUACGUUCCCGGGCCUUGUACACACCGCCCGUCACACCAUGGGAGUUGGUUCUACCCGAAGGCGCUGCGCUUAACCGCAAGGAGGCAGGCGACCACGGUA